rnacentral:rRNA from 1 species
GAUGAACGCUGGCGGCGUGCCUAAUACAUGCAAGUCGAGCGAAGCGGGGACGGGUGAGUAACACGUGGAUAACCUCCUAUAAGACUGGGAUAACUUCUGGAAACCGGAGCUAAACCGGAUACUUAGAGAUGGAUCUGCGCUGCAUUAGCUAGUUGGUACGGUAACGGCUUACCAAGGCAACGAUGCAUAGCCGACCUGAGAGAGUGACCGGCAACACUGGAACUGGUACAGGGUCCAGGCUCGCACGGGAGGCAGAAGUGGGGAAUCUUCAGCAAUGGGCGAAAGCCUGAAGAACCAACGCCGCGUGAGUGAUGAGGGACUUCGGAUCGUAAAACUCUGUUAUUAGGGAAGCGGUACCUAAUCAGAAAGCCACGGCUAACUACGUGCCAGCAGCCGCGGUAAUAC